rnacentral:lncRNA from 10 species
CUACCACAGGCCUUGCCUCCUUCCUGUACUGGGCGUCCUCCUGCCCUGUUCCUCCCUCUCCCUUCCUGCCACACCCGGCUGACCUCUGCUCACCAUUUUCUCCAUUCCAUGGACAUUUUCCCACCACACCAGUGGCUACUCCCACUUGCACUAGGAGCGCUGUGACACCCCAACUUGUGGGGCAGAGGUCAGGCCCAGAGUGCUGAAGUGCUGAAGCUCCUGUAGAAGGUCCUUCCAUGUGUCUUUCAGAUCCUGGGCUUGGCCUUCUCCAUAACCAUCACCCAGCACAUCCACUGGACUGGGUCUUGCUCUGUCAUCCAGACUGGAGUACAGUGGUGCAACCACGGCUCACUGCAGCCUUGAACUCCUGGGCUCAAGCAAUCCUCCUACCUCAGCCUCCAUAGCAGUCGGGACCACAGCGUGGCCAUCCAGCCUGCCCUGAUUUCUCCUGAGCAUACAAGUGCCUGGUCCACACGUCCACAAGGAAUUGGCCUCUUCUACCAGCACUGCACCAUUAACAAGAUCCUAACCUAUUCCAUGUUAUUUCACAAAACAUACUUGAAGAAGGUGAGGGGGAAGAAUGAGAAUCCACCAUCUAUGAAAAUGGAGAUGGGAAUUCAGCUUGGACUAGAAAAGGUAGCACACUGCUAAUCCUCUCUCAUCUUCUCCAGGAAGCUUUCUAAAGCCUGCUUCUGUAAGGUUCUCUGGACCCAAAGUCACAUACUGGGAAGGAAGAGAAGCCUUUGGAUAAACAUCAUGAAUUUUCCUGGAGCAACUGUUCUAUUUAAGAUUUUAUAUAAUAUUUUUUGGAAAGAAGGGAAUAGGUUUUAAAAAAUAUUUUCAAAAGUGUAACAUCCAUCUAUGCUCAUUUUAGACAAUUUGAUCAGUAUAAAAUAUUAAAUAAGAACGUUAAAAACCACUUGGACUCUUACCUAUCAUAAAUAACCACUGUAUUACUGGAUUUUGGUGAAUAUCUUUUAAUUGUGUGUGUUUGUGAGUAUGUGUUUGUAAUCAGAUUUUUUUAAAUUUGAGGCUAUAUUCUAGUCAGCUUUUUAUGUCAAUGGAUUUAAGAAUAUGUUACAUCACUUUAAAUGUAAUGUAUGGAUAUACCACAAUUUAUUUAACUAAUACCCUAUUAAUGAAUAUUUAAGAUGUUUUCUUUUCUUUUUUUUUUGAGAUAAAGUCUCACUCUGUUGCCCAGGCUGGAGUGCAGUGGCGUGAUCUGGGCUCACUGCAACCUCCACCUCCUGAGUUCAAGUUGAUUCUCCUGCUCAGCCUCCCGAGUAGCUGGGAUUACAGACACGCACCACCAUGCCCAGCUAAUUUUUGUAUUUUUAGUAGAGACAGGGUUUCACCAUGUUGGCCAGGCUGAGCUUGAACUCCUGACCUCAGAAGAUCCGCCCACCUAGGCCUCCCAAAGUGCUGGGAUUACAGGCGUGAGCCACGCUUCCAGCCAGGAUGUUUUCAAUGAAAAAAGAUUUUUGAUGAUGUUGUUAUGAAACAUUCUUUAAUAUAUAUACUUGCCUACUUAUUCAAUUAUUUCUUUAUGGCAAAUUCCUACAAAAUGAGUCACAGAAAGUAUUUAUUUUGGUAGCUGAACACACACACACGCUCGUAUAGAUAUAUUCACACAUACACAUACACACAUGUAUACAUACGUAUGUAUGUGUAUAUAUAGACCUAUUCACAUGUACACACAUAUAUACAUACAUAUGUAUGUGUACAUAUAUAUAUAUAAAGUCAAAAAUGUUUUAAACUUAAAUAUGGUUGUUACUUCUUGAGAAGAGACUGGGAUUGGGGAUGCAGUCAGAGGAAUUUGACCAAACCUAUAAUCUUUUAGUUUUUUCACAGGGAGAAAAUAUAUGUAUAACUUAAAAUUAGUUAAAAUUAAGGGUAACAAUAACCAAAAAUGGACAAGAUAAAGUAGUUAUCAAGUGGCAAUCACACAUCAUUGCAAAUAAAAUGAUCUGCUUCCUUUUGCUGAAAAUACUUAACGGUAACUACUGGAAGAAUAGAAAUACGAUAUGUAAAUGUUAAACUGCUGAAAGAAAAAAACAAAGGGAACCAGGACACCUAAAACCUUGAUUAAUCCAACAAAAGUAAGAAAUGAAAAAAUUAAAAGAAACAACAAGAAAGCGCAUAACUAAAAAGUACAAGCAUGUGGACAAAUAUGUCCAAAUAUGCCAAUAUUUGGAAUUAAUAUGAUUUGGUUAAUGUGUCUAUUAAAAGAUGGCAACUCUCUGGAUAACAAAACCAAAUGCAGUUAUAUGUUACUUAAAAGGGACACACAUGAAAAAAUGACACAAAGUUUCAAAAUAAAGGAGUGGAAAAGAUGUAUUAACUAAGGAAAUGCUGGCACCAAGAAGUAGAUAUGCCAAUAUUAAUAUAAGAUAAAAUGAAUCCAAAGCCCAAAGAAUUCAUGGUCACAGAAGACUAUUUAUUUAUUUCUUUAUUUAGAGAUGGGGUCUUGCUCUGUCACCCAGGCUGGAGUGCAGUGGCAUGAUCUUGGCUCACUGCAAUCUCCAUCUCCCAGGUUCAAGCAAUUCUCCUGCCUCAGCCUCCCAAGUAGCUGGGAUUACAGGUGUAUGCCACCAUGCCCAGCUAAUUUUGUAUUUUUAGUAGAGACGGGGUUUCUCCAUGUUGGCCAGGCUGGCCUCGAACUCCUGACCUCAAGUGAUCUGCCCGCCUUGGCCUCCCAAAGUGCUGGGACUACAGGCGUGAGCCACCGUGCCUGGCCAAAGAAGACUUUUUUUUAUUUUGUUCGUGUCCACCCAUGAACCUUUGUGCAUAGCUCCAAAAUGUAUAAAGCAAAGAUGAUAGGACAAGUAGACAAAAAAUAACCCAAGGAUUGAGAGGUGCACUUUCCAAUAUAGUAGCCACUAGCCACACAGUAUAGCCAGUAGUCACUAGGUUAUUUAAUACUUCAAAUAUGGCUAAUCCACGUUGAAAUGUGCUAUAAAGUGUAAAACAUACAUUGGAUUUCAAAGACUUGGUAUGAAAAAAUAAAGUAAAAUAGCUCGAAUAUUUUAAAUAUUGAUUAUAUUUUGAAAAGAUCAUACUUUAGAUAUGAGUUAAAUAAAAUCUAUUAAAAUUAUGAGAACUUAUGAACACAAAGAAGGAAACAACGACACUGGGGUCUUCUUGAGGGUGGAGGUUGGGAGGAGGGAGAGGAGCAGAAAAGAUAAAUAUUGGGUAGUGAGCUUAAUUCCUGGGUGAUGAAAUGAUCUGUAUGACAAACCUCUGUGACAUGAGUUUAUAUAUGUAACACACCUUCACAUGUACCCUCAAACCUACAAUAAAAGUUAAAAAAGAUUGCAACCUAAAAUAAAUGGAUAAAUAAAAUCUGUUAAAAUUAAU